GACGAACGCUGGCGGCGUGCUUAACACAUGCAAGUCGAACGGAAAGGCCCUGCUUUUGUGGGGUGCUCGAGUGGCGAACGGGUGAGUAACACGUGAGUAACCUGCCCUUGACUUUGGGAUAAAUUCAGGAAACUGGGGCUAAUACCGGAUAGGAGCUCCUGAUGCAUGGUGGGGGUUGGAAAGUUUCGGCGGUUGGGGAUGGACUGGCGGCUUAUCAGCUUGUUGGUGGGGUAGUGGCUUACCAAGGCUUUGACGGGUAGCCGGCCUGAGAGGGUGACCGGCCACAUGGGUACUGAGAGACGGCCCAGACUCCUACGGGAGGCAGCAGUGGGGAAUAUGGCACAAUGGGCGGAAGCCUGAUGCAGCAACGCCGCGUGCGGGAUGACGGCCUUCGGGUUGUAAACCGCUUUCGCCUGUGACGAAGCGGGAGUGACGGUAAUUGGUAAAGAAGCACCGGCUAACUACGUG
rnacentral:rRNA from 1 species